GGGCCCGCACAAGCAGUGGAGCAUGUGGUUUAAUUCGAUGCAACGCGAGGAACCUUACCUAGGCUAGAAUGCGAGUGACAUCCAGAGAGAUCUGGAGUUCUUCGGACACAAAGCAAGGUGCUGCAUGGUUGUCGUCAGCUCGUGCCGUGAGGUGUUGGGUUAAGUCCCGCAACGAGCGCAACCCCUGUUUUUAGUUGCCAGCAAGUAAUGUUGGGGACUCUAGAAAGACUGCCUGCGUAAGCAGAGAGGAAGGAGGGGACGACGUCAAAUCAGCAUGGCCCUUAUGCCUAGGGCUACACACGUGCUACAAUGGCGUAUACAAAGGGUAGCGAACUAGUGAUGGU
rnacentral:rRNA from 1 species